UCACGCGGGAAAUCUUACCGGGUCCGGACACACUGAGGAUUGACAGAUAUAUACCCCGUGAUUUUAUCGCGGGGUUGAAAGAUGCUAGUUCUUUCAUGAUUAUGUGAUAGGUGGUGCAUGGCCGUUCUUAGUUCGUGGAGUGAUCUGUCUGCUUAAUUGCGUAUCAAUAAUAGAGACCUAGUAUACGCGUAGACUCAUGCGGUAGUGACCCCCCUUCACAGGGCGCGUGUCGCACGUAUGUUAUACGCACAGGUCUCCGAUAGCAACGAACGUGACCGUACUCUAUUGUUGCAGCGACAAUACCUUUCAACGGGUAUUACCGCUGCUUAGCAAGAUUCGUCUUGCAUUAAACUAUAGAGACCGCUGUUUCUUCUUUAAACCAGAGGAAGGAUACGGCAAUAACAGGUCUGUGAUGCCCUCAGAUGUUCCGGGCUGCACACGUGCUACAAUGAUCAUUGCACUGUGCAUCUAACCCAAUGUGCGCGGACGCCGCCGUGCGUAUAUACUUUAUUGUGUAUGCGUAUCGUGCGUGCGACCGCGCCGAACCUGCUUCGAAAGUAAACAUUUCCAGCGGGUAAUCCAUUAGAAGUAAUGACUCGCAUAGACCAUGGCACACUAUAUGUACCCGCGGGUUCUACCCGGCUCGCCUUUGUGUGAGUGCAGUGCGUAGCUCGUUGUUUGGUACGUGCCACUCCGUAUUAAUUCAUACNUGGGGAUAGAUCAUUGUUUAAUUGUUGGUCUCGGNCUUAACUAGNAAUGCCUUGUACGGGUCUUUGGUUCAACAUACCACCCGGAAUAC
rnacentral:rRNA from 1 species